rnacentral:rRNA from 1 species
GACGAACGCUGGCGGCGUGCUUAACACAUGCAAGUCGAACGGAAAGGCCCUGCUUUUGUGGGGUGCUCGAGUGGCGAACGGGUGAGUAACACGUGAGUAACCUGCCCUUGACUUUGGGAUAACUUCAGGAAACUGGGGCUAAUACCGGAUAGGAGCUCCUGCUGCAUGGUGGGGGUUGGAAAGUUUCGGCGGUUGGGGAUGGACUCGCGGCUUAUCAGCUUGUUGGUGGGGUAGUGGCUUACCAAGGCUUUGACGGGUAGCCGGCCUGAGAGGGUGACCGGCCACAUUGGGACUGAGAUACGGCCCAGACUCCUACGGGAGGCAGCAGUGGGGAAUAUUGCUCAAUGGGCGGAAGCCUGAUGCAGCAACGCCGCGUGCGGGAUGACGGCCUUCGGGUUGUAAACCGCUUUCGCCUAUGACGAAGCGUGAGUGACGGUAAUGGGUAAAGAAGCACCGGCUAACUACGUG